ACGCUGGCGGCAGGCUUAACACAUGCAAGUCGAACGGUAACAGGAAUUAGCUUGCUAAUUUGCUGACGAGUGGCGGACGGGUGAGUAAUGCUUGGGAAUCUGGCUUAUGGAGGGGGAUAACUACGGGAAACUGUAGCUAAUACCGCGUAAAAUCUUCGGAUUAAAGGGUGGGACUUUCGAGCCACCUGCCAUAAGAUGAGCCCAAGUGGGAUUAGGUAGUUGGUUAGGUAAAGGCUGACCAAGCCGACGAUCUCUAGCUGGUCUGAGAGGAUGACCAGCCACACUGGAACUGAGACACGGUCCAGACUCCUACGGGAGGCAGCAGUGGGGAAUAUUGCACAAUGGGGGGAACCCUGAUGCAGCCAUGCCGCGUGAAUGAAGAAGGCCUUCGGGUUGUAAAGUUCUUUCGGUGACGAGGAAGGUUGAUAGGUUAAUAGCCUAUCAAAUUGACGUUAAUCACAGAAGAAGCACCGGCUAACUCCGUGCCAGCAGCCGCGGUAAUACGGGGGGUGCGAGCGUUAAUCGGAAUAACUGGGCGUAAAGGGCACGCAGGCGGUGACUUAAGUGAGAUGUGAAAGCCCCGAGCUUAACUUGGGAAUUGCAUUUCAUACUGGGUCGCUAGAGUACUUUAGGGAGGGGUAGAAUUCCACGUGUAGCGGUGAAAUGCGUAGAGAUGUGGAGGAAUACCGAAGGCGGAGGCAGCCCCUUGGGAAUGUACUGACGCUCAUGUGCGAAAGCGUGGGGAGCAAACAGGAUUAGAUACCCUGGUAGUCCACGCUGUAAACGAUGUCGAUUUGGGGAUUGGGCUUUGAGCUUGGUGCCCGUAGCUAACGUGAUAAAUCGACCGCCUGGGGAGUACGGCCGCAAGGUUAAAACUCAAAUGAAUUGACGGGGGCCCGCACAAGCGGUG
rnacentral:rRNA from 1 species